rnacentral:tRNA from 1 species
GCCCGGGUGGUCUAGUGGUAUGAUUCUCGCUUAGGGAUGGCUUCCGCCUACAAACCCAAGCAUAUCUGCGAGAGGUCCCGCGUUCGAUCCGCGGCUCGGGCC